UUCAAUUUAUUGUUAUUUAUGUAUUCAUUUAUUUUAUUAUUGCAAUAACUAGAAAUUUACGAGUAACCUUUAGAAAAUGUAUUAAUUAUUUAAAGAUGACAAUAAUUUUAUUACGUAGAACGGAUCGCAAUGUUUUGACAACAGCAACAGAGCACUUGUAUCAACUAUCAACAAUUGAAAAUUUUAAACCACUUUUUCUCUUUUCUGUUUCUGUUUCUUUCUUCAAAACAACGACUGGCUUUGUGACUUGGACCUGGACCAAUCUGGAUCGUAUACCUACUUAAGACCUACGCAUUCCCGAAGCACUGUGACGUUUUGUGAUUUGGCUUUGUUACAUGGACCGCUUGGAAAUAUCAAUAUCGAAAGUGACAUGAUGGAGAGAGAGAGUUCUAUCUUCAAUAGAAAACAAUGAAAGGGUAGGAACUGCAGCCGAUAUGAAUCCACGAAUGCCUAAAGUGUUGUAUAUGUUCGGAACUAAUAAAACCAAAAUCCUUCCAUCCUGUACGGUGAGAAUGGAUUCAAAAGAAGGAACCGUAUUUUGAAACACACGGUAUUAAAUGUGAUCCUGACGCUGAUCAUUACAAACUUGCAACCUUAUAACAACAGAGGAUCGCCAAACCUACCGCAAUUGCAAAUACUUAUUGCAUUAAGGCAUAAAAAUGCAACUGGAUGUUUUCAGAUGGUGUGUGGUGAUCUGAACAGCAUAGCCAAUCUACAGUCUUUUUAAUUAUAAAUAAAGUCUCUGCAGAGUUGAGUAAAUUACUUCCUAGAUUUGUAAAUUUUCCAAGAAAUAUGAACACAGCCAAAACGAAGUUUGAAAAAUUAGGAAGAUCUAAUACUCACCAUGGCCUAAACAGUAUAAUCGGAGCUAUUGACUGCACCCAUAUAAAAAUUUAUAGACCCAAAGGUAUUGCUCACUCUGAAGCAUAUAGAAAUAAAAAAGGGUAUUUUUCUGAAAAUGUGCAAGCAAUAAUAGGGCCUGAUAUGGAAAUAUUUGCUAUAGUGACUAGGUGGCCUGGCAGUUCACAUGACAGCAGGAUAUUUAGAAAAUGCCUGUUUCAGUAGGUGACAGCGGUUUUCCAGCACUUAACUUCAUGUUAACAACACUUUUAAAUCCAAUGACAAGAGCUGACAAUAUAUAUAAUUAUUCUCAAAUAAGAAGUAGGCAUAUUUUUUAAAGGUUUUUCGGAGUGUGAAACAGGAAAUUUCCAUGUUUACAGCUAGGACUACAGUCAAAAUUGACAAAUACUAGUUAUAUAUAAUUAUAGCUUGUGCUGUAUUGCAUAAUAUAGGUAUACAGAGAGGGGAUGCUUAUGAUGAUGGUGAUCUUGCUGACAGCAGAAGUUGAGUAACACAGAAACAAUGAAAGAUCUCCUACAGGUCUAGCAUUCCGGCAAUCUGUGAUUGCACAAUUUAACUAGGUAAU